rnacentral:rRNA from 1 species
CGGCAAUUGCGGCAGCUUACACAUGCAGUCGCACGGUUCGGGGGCAACCUCGGGCAGUGGCGGACGGGUGAGUAACGCGUAGGAAUCUGUCUUUGGAUGGGGGACAACCGUGGGAAACUACGGCUAAUACCGCAUGAUGCCUGAGGGCCAAAGCUCGCGAGAGCGUCUGAAGAGGAGCCUGCGUCUGAUUAGGUAGUUGGUGGGGUAAAGGCCUACCAAGCCUGCGAUCAGUAGCUGGUCUGAGAGGAUGAUCAGCCACAUUGGGACUGAGACACGGCCCAAACUCCUACGGGAGGCAGCAGUGGGGAAUAUUGGACAAUGGGCGCAAGCCUGAUCCAGCAAUGCCGCGUGGGUGAAGAAGGUUUUCGGAUUGUAAAGCCCUUUUGGCGGGGACGAUGAUGACGGUACCCGCAGAAUAAGCUCCGGCUAACUUCGUGCCAGCAGCCGCGGUAAUACGAAGGGGGCUAGCGUUGCUCGGAAUGACUGGGCGUAAAGGGCGCGUAGGCGGCUUGUACAGUCAGGCGUGAAAUUCCUGGGCUCAACCUGGGGACUGCGUCUGAUACGUGCUGGCUUGAGUAUGGAAGAGGGUCGUGGAAUUUCCAGUGUAGAGGUGAAAUUCGUAGAUAUUGGAAAGAACACCGGUGGCGAAGGCGGCGACCUGGUCCAUUACUGACGCUGAGGCGCGAAAGCGUGGGGAGCAAACAGGAUUAGAUACCCUGGUAGUCCACGCUGUAAACGAUGUGUGCUGGAUGUUGGGGUGCUUAGCACUUCAGUGUCGUAGCUAACGCGGUAAGCACACCGCCUGGGGAGUACG